rnacentral:rRNA from 1 species
UCCCAGACUCCUACGGGAGGCAGCAGUGAGGAAUAUUGGUCAAUGGUCGGGAGACUGAACCAGCCAAGCCGCGUGAGGGAGGAAGGUACAGAGUAUCGUAAACCUCUUUUGUCAGGGAACAAAGGCGGGGACGUGUCCCCGGAUGAGUGUACCUGAAGAAAAAGCAUCGGCUAACUCCGUGCCAGCAGCCGCGGUAAUACGGAGGAUGCGAGCGUUAUCCGGAUUUAUUGGGUUUAAAGGGUGCGCAGGCGGCCUGUUAAGCCAGCGGUAAAAGCCCGGGGCUCAACCCCGGCGAGCCGUCGAAACUGGCGGGCUGGAGUUGGAGAGAAGUACGCGGAAUGCGCGGUGUAGCGGUGAAAUGCUUAGAUAUCGCGCAGAACCCCGAUUGCGAAGGCAGCGUACCGGCUCCACACUGACGCUGAGGCACGAAAGCGUGGGUAUCGAACAGGAUUAGAUACCCGGGUAGAC